CCGCGAAUAAUCUACAGUUGCCCUAAGCGUGGCCGUGCAAACUACUUUUUUUUUGUGCCGCGCCCCUUUCCACACUGCUUCCGCACCCCGCUUUUCCAAGGCGAAACUGCCCCCUCCCCCUCUUUCCCUCCAAGACAACAACUCCAACAGAAAAGCCGGAAAGCGGAAAGAGAAGGCUAUCAAUACACUCACAAAGAGAGAUACGGAGACGGCAAGCGCAUCUGCUUAUCUAGGUGCGUGCCGGCCUGAAGCGGGCGAACGAAGGGUUCCGGAUUUCAACGAGACAGAAAAUAGGACACAGUUCAGUGUCAGCUGCACACGGCUUGUUCGCUCUGCGCUGCCUUGAUCUGUGAACACCGCCAUCAUUUUUUUUUUGCGGCGCAUUCUUCCCUCUUUCCUUCUUCUUGUCUUACUUCACUUUUUACGUGUUCUCAACAUUUGGGGACUGCGCGUUUCGUGAUUUCCUCGCCCGAGCGACAACUCAAAAAAAAUAAAGAAAAACCUGCCUGGCUCUGCCUUUCAGCGCCUUCUUCGAUCUCCACCGUUUUGCUGUGUUGAGGCUGCUCUCAACCCGGCCGCUCAUUUUCCUUCUUCCGUGGCUCGCAGUGUGGUGCUCUCUUUUUAUCGCCUUUCUUUUGUGACCCCCCUCCUCGCUCUCCUCGUCGGUGUGCCCUUUCUUUGUUUCUGGGUUUCCGUCCUCCCUUCCCCCCUCCCACCCCCCACACACACCCUUUCGCUCUCGCUGUUUUCUUUUUUUGUGAGUUCAACCCUUGAUUCCUGCUGCUGCGAACGACAGAAGCUCCUCAGGAAGUGCUCGAAGAGACGAAUGCUUUAGGCCUCAACUGCACACGGUACACACGUGUUUGUGUGUUUUUCAUUUUCUUUUGUUUAUUUUUGGUUGCUCUCUCUCUCUGGCUAAUUCGCUUUCACGUGUCUGACGCUCUCUCGCCUGUGUGUGCGUUUUCUUUGCCUUCUCACUCUUUCUGCUUUCGUGUUGCUGCAUUCUGUCACUGUCACGAUUGUUCGUCGCGAGGCUGAAACCCACCGUCGGCAAGUUGUCUCACUUCUUUCCUGUUUCUCCUGCUCACAGAACAGCAGCGAAAUUAAACAAAGCAGCAUAGUUCCGCUCAUAUAUCUAUAUGGAAAUAUAUGCUUCCCUUUUUUCUGUUGGCUUCUUCGGCGUUUCCUCCCCUCUGUUUUGCUGUGUUUUUUGUGAGGGCGUUCUUGUCUGGUAAAUGUUUCUCCACCGUGUGCGUACGCGUUUUGUACUGUUGCGCCGCUUACACGUGCUCCUCAUCCUCUUUUUUCUCCUUGCCUUUCUUUUUGUUCCCUGUUGAAAUUACCCCCCCCCCCCCCCCGAAGUAAUAUAUAUAUAUAUAUAUAUAUAAGCGAGAAAAGGCACACCCGUGCACCUAAAGAGCGAGAAGCAGCACUUUCAAAGCCGAUUCUAACUCACCAUCUCCCGCCUCGACAAAAAGGAAAAAGCAAACAAGAAAGCGAGGUCCUUCUCCUCUUCCUAGCUCCGUUGUCUACCUUUUCUUUUUCCUUUUUCUGCAGCCACAUAUAGGGCAAAGUCCUACACACAAACGCGCGCACACACACAGGCCAGCGAUACGUCUUGUUCGUGUUUCCUGAGAGUUUUUUUUUUGCCAUUUGUGGUAUUCUUUUUCUCCCCCUUUUCUCUUCGUUUCUCCCUCGCAGUUGUGCUUCCCUCUGUGUGCGUCUCUUUGUCGGUGCCCUACUCUCCCUUGCUGAGGAAAAUAAAGCGAGCAAAAAUCGAAAAGUCGUGUAGACCGGUCCUUCUCUUGCGGCACUGCCAAUUCGUGGGCGUAGGCUUUCGGCUCUGAUAUGUUGGGCGUUCGUGUGCUGUGCGCAGUUUUACAGGCAUAUGUGUGGGUAGCAGACCCACUACUCCCCCUUUUAGCGUAACUGUUUCUUGUUUAUUCUGUCUCGCCGGUUUGCUCUCGAGCGACAAACCGUGCAACUGCGCAGGGAGGCAAAAAAAAAAGGAAGCUUGCACACCUGCCAGCGCUGGGGUGUUGAUUGUGUGCAUCCUACGCUAUAGGAGAAGGCGACGCCGGUUCAGUGAACGCCACAAGCUCUCCGUUCUUGAUGGGGUGCGGAUCGUCUUCUCACGUUCAUGACCGACGCGCCUACCACGGCGUGGCGGUGCGGACUCACUCGUACAGUGGCGGUGCCGAAAGUUCGGUUCGUAGUUCGACACACGGGUCUUUUGAGCGCAUGGAUCGACGCCAGCACAGUAAGGCCGCUGACAGAGGUUUGAACGACAAGUUUCACUUUGACAUGAAUGGGGUUCUUCAGCGGAAAAUGCGACGUUGCCGCAUGCAGGAGUGGCACCACACCGCUGCCGCUGGCGCGCGCCAGGCGCACCGGGGCUUCCAUCGAAUGCCUCGCCACGACUACCUCACGGACUUCGGCACACAUCAUGUGGCCAUGGUGGACGAGUUGUCUCGCUGCGUGGUGUCUGCCAGCGACAAAAGCUUGAUCGAGUGCUUCGCAACUUCCGUUUCCGAGACUCCGCUGAGCUCGUUGACGACGAGCUGUAGUGCCGUCCACUCGAAUCCCCCGAGUACUCACUUCGAUCUACAGGCUCCGCUGUGCCUCUCUGAAGGAUCUCUGGCCCGUGCCUCAGUUAUCGACCUUGGUGGGCGGUCCUCGCGCUCUUUCCCGCAGGGUAUGUCGUCUUGCUCCGCAACGUCUUCUUGUAGCAAAGCGCGUCGGUUUCAGAGCUACUCACUACACCCAUGCAAUUGUGGCCAUGCUCACCGUGCGAAGUUGGUGCUCUUUGCGGCCCAGGCUGACAUCCUGCUUUCUUGCUCCACGAAGGACCGCCACAUGACUGCGUACCACAUCGCGCUCGGCGUGGAGGUGGGCCGGCUUGUGGGCCACGAUGACCUGAUUCUUGGCGGAGCAGUGAGCCCAGACGACACGCUGGUGGCCACUACGUCGUGCGACUGCACCGCCAUCUUGUGGGAUCUGCCGUCGUGUAAGCAGCGUCGCUCUUUGACUCACCCGCAGUUCGUGCACGCCUGUCGCUUUUCUUCAUCAGGCACCGAGCUGGCCACGGCAUGCGCCGACGGGCUGUGUCGAAUCUGGACCUGGUCCGCCUCCGCCAUAGUCAACAUACUCGUGCCCUCCGACACCGGCUUUAAUGGCGCUCUCAGUUCUCUUGCCUACUCCCUCGGCGACAAGGUACUUCUGGCUGGGGGCUCAGCGCGCAACGUGUACGUCUGGGAUUGCGAGAGCUUCAGUGCACCGGCUGCUGUUUUCCGGCAGCACCGAAGUGCCGUGCUGUCUGUAGACGCCUCCCGCGCCCAUCAGGACAUUGUGAUGACGGCGGAGGAGGCGACACUGCUCGUGUGGAACUGCGCGACGCUGGAGGUUCUACAGCGAAUCGACGUCAGCUUCUGCGACGCUCAGUCGCCCUGGCGACGGGGCGGGGCCCUGACAGCAUCAGAGAUGUCUGUGAAGCGGACCACCUUUCCGCAUGAGUUGUACUGGACUGCAGCGCGAUUGAUGGACUCGCGCUUUGGCCUCGUCUUGGUGGCGGCUACCAGCGACAAGCGCCUCUACCUCUUCGACUUCGUCGCCACAUACAAAAGACGUUCCGCAGACGACAUUCAGACUCAACUCACUGGCACCGCGGCACAAGUGCAGCCAAGCGCUCUAUCAGAAAUGCUGUCGCUCUCUCUUAGAUCCCCCGUAAGCAGUAUGGACAGCGGACCACCUAACCGCGUUGUGUUCGGUGACAGCUGCGGCAAUCGCUACAUUUUGGAGUUGAAUUGAAAGGCCUUUGCAGCUUCUUUUAUUUUGGGGAGUUAGAGGGGAGGGGAGGUCGACGUGCUCACAAGCGCUUAGCCGUGCUUAUCUGUGCGUGUUUUUUUUUCCUGCUGAGGGGUGGUGACGGGGAUGAGAAGCGCACAUGCAAAGGCAAAAGAAUCGAUUCCGUUUUUCUUUUUUUUUUCGGGCGAUUGCAACAAGAGGCGCUUGUUCGCUCUCUCCAUCAAAUUCAAAAUUUAUUUUCCUUGUGCUCCUCCUUCUCGCUCUUCCUAUUUCUGCUCUGUACUUUUUUUUUGUCGUUCUUGUUCGCCUCUGCGUCUCUCUUUUUCAUGUGUUUUCCCUUUUGGCCCACAUCCUCUGCGUGUUGUUGCCUGCUCACAUGUCCGUAUAUAUACUGCGUCUCUCUCUCUCUCUAUGUGUGUGUGUGUGCCCUUCUCCCUUUCCCUUUGCUUUUCCUUAUACCGUCUUGCGUGCUUGAGGCUCGCUCUCGCCCUCUGGGCGCAUGCCUUUAGUUCCUCCCUGCGCUUCUUUUGCUUCGUCAUGUUCGUGCUUCCAAAGCACACCAUCUCUCUUCCUUUGUUUCUUGUUCGCUUUGGCUUCUUUGGGGUUUCCGUUUCUCGAUCGUUUUUUUUUUUUGUUCCUCAGCUGUGCGUGAACCACAGAGGCAUUGAGGCUGUUGCGGAAACCCCAGCUGCAGGGGUCGAACUUACACAUGUCCGACGAGGCUUGUUGUGCACAGCACUUUCCUCUCGACGAGGAAGAGAGGGUUGGAAAGAAUGCACUCCUUCCUCAUUCCUGGGUCGUCCGGCAACAACCUUUUUCUUAGUGCUUUUGCGCGUUCUUGUUCUAUGCUAGUGUCUUCCCUCUCUGUUUUUUUUUUUAUGUUUUGUGUAGCCCUGGACUUGGACUCUAAAACGGUCGCGCUCUUUGGCAGCGUUGCUUGUUUAGCUUAAGUUGACACAAACACCCUUCCGCAUAGGCACUCGCCCACGCUGGCGUGUACACAUGCACGUAAGCCUCUGCAUAUGCGCACGUCACGUGGCUGUACUGUUUUGACAUGCCUCUUUGACGACUUUGCGUGCUCCUGCAUCUGUAUGCGAGCCGGCACAAAUGAAGGGCUUGUGAUUAUUUUUUGCGUUACUACGUCAAGAGCUGUAAAGUCUGACUCUACACUUAGACCUACGCCUCCCUCCUUUCUACCGUCUUACCUGUUCUCACCCAUCUGCGAGCACAUCGUUCCAUGUCUUGAUCGGCAUCUUCGCUGUUGUCGCUGAUGCGUCUUUCUCAACUUAUGCCCAUGUCGCUCUCUUUCUUGGUCACGGCUAUGCUCUUGCAGCUCUCUCUGCUCACGUGCCACGCUGUUUCUUGCUUUUUUUUUCUCUGAAGCCCUUCUGUUUUUUUCACACGUGUGACGAUUGAUGAGGAGUUUAGUGUGCAUCUCUAGCUCUCUGUUUCCUUCUCGUUUAUGAUGUCUGUCGUGCUCUUCAAUGUAUAUGUUUGUGCGUACGUUUAUGCGUGUGCGUGUGCCGCACGCGAAUUUGCAGUGACUAUUUUCCUUGUUACUGUUUUUUUGUUGUUGUUGGUGAAGGAAGAAAACGGCCGUCUUUGCGUGUGUGUAAGCCUUUUAGUGCGUUCUUGUACUCGCUCUUGUUCCCUUUGGGUUUAUCGUGUUUGCUCUCACUCCUGGCUUUGUCUGUGCCCGUGCUUAUGAGGAUGUGCUGCCGGUGCUGAGGAGAUGCGGGAGAAACGAUUCAGUUGACUAGAACACCGAAUUCGACAAGGGAAAACAAACACGGACUCGAGUGGACGAAAACCAAAAAGAUGAUACGAAAUAAACAAGAGUUGACUUCUCUGCUCUACCUCGAAAACGAGAGAUAAAAAAUAAUAAUGCAAAAGGUGUUCACCACUUCGCUCGAGCUCCGCUUCUGGUGAUUAUCAUCACUAGGUCUCAGGCGUGGUGGAGUAAUGCAUACGGAGAAGAUGCACGUGCAUGUCUCUACAUCCACCUCUUCUUCGUUCGCAUGCCCUCUUUUUACGCUCUUUCACUUUGCUUCACCGCAAUUCGAGUAUCUUUCUCUUCGCCUGUACCUCAUAUUUCUCUGCCCGCCAAUGAAUGCGUGUGUGUGUGUGUUCGUGUAUGCGUCGAUAUGUGCACCUUUUUCUUUUGUUCCCUAGUUUAAAUUGUAUGUGUGUGUGCUUCCAGAUGUAUGCAUGCGUGUGUGUAUAUGUGCCGUGCUCGAUACGCCUCUUUCCUCUUCGCCUCCUCCCUGCUCUGGCUCCACUUCUCUGUUCUCUCCUUAUACAUGACCAAAGAGAGAGGGCGGCGGCGCAAAGUGCGGAAGCGAGAGGAGCACCACGCCCUGCCCAUUUUCUUUCUUUUUCUCUGCUGUGUUUUCUGUUUAACUUUUGUUUUAUUACUUGCUGCCUAUGGCGCGUCAUUUAUGCUCCGCUCAAAACUAGUUUCUUUUCCUGUAUGCGCUCUUUUUCCUAUUACCUGACGUGUGCGACCUUCUUCGUGGUGGUCACGUCGCGUCAUCAUCAUCGUUCAGGCGCCUUCGCCGACGCACUUCUUUACGUCCUGUUUUGCCUCCUGUGCCGAUGCCCACUUCACUGUGCCUGGGGUUUCGAGGGGAGGUAGCCGAAAGUGCGCGCGCUGCGCAUUGGGCUUCCACAGACACGCAUUUGCACCAACUGUGUGCAGUUGGCGGAGUCCGUUGAUUUCCUUUUCUCCCUUCCCCUCUUUCUGUGCCACAUCCCCGCCUUUUCUUUGAGUUCUCAAGCGGAAGGGAUAAGACUUGCCUUUUGACACACAAGAGAGUGUAUCGUACAAAACACCGAAACCGGCACUCCGGUGGACGCGAGGUGCUUUGUGGCCCGCAGUCUCCACGGCGAAGGUGAGAAAAAGGCGGAACAUAAGAAGCAAAUAGAACGGCAAUUUACCCCCCCCCCCCUUCUCCAAAGAUCAUGCAGCACACACACACACACACACAAGCACAUCACAUGCUCUCUCAUCUUUUUUUUUCCGUGCCCAUGGCUAUGUACGUGUGUGCGCCAACCACCCUUAUGUGGUCGCAGAACCAGAGUGAAAGCAAAAUGAAAUGCGCAACGGAGACCUGAUGGAGGCGACGGACGUCGCGAGACGAGCCGAAGCUACGCGGGCGUGUGUAGAGCAAGCUCUGCCCGCCAGCUUUGUAGCCUUUCUUGUCGGUGCGCUUCUCACUGUUGUCUUGUCGCCUGCGGCUCGGAGUCUUCGCAUGCUGAUGGUGCGGUAGAGCAGAAAGCGCUCUGCC
rnacentral:misc_RNA from 1 species